UAGUCCACACGGUAAACGAUGAAUACUCGCUGUUGGCGAUAUACGGUCAGCGGCCAAGCGAAAGCAUUAAGUAUUCCACCUGGGGAGUACGCCGGCAACGGUGAAACUCAAAGGAAUUGACGGGGGCCCGCACAAGCGGAGGAACAUGUGGUUUAAUUCGAUGAUACGCGAGGAACCUUACCCGGGCUUAAAUUGCACUGGACAGUUUUGGAAACAGAACCUUCUUCGGACCAGUGUGA
rnacentral:rRNA from 1 species